rnacentral:rRNA from 1 species
AACGAACGCUGGCGGCAGGCCUAACACAUGCAAGUCGAGCGCCCCAGCAAUGGGGAGCGGCAGACGGGUGAGUAACGCGUGGGUAUCUACCUAGUGGUGCGGAAUAGCCCAGGGAAACUUGGAGUAAUACCGCAUAAGCCCGAAAGGGGAAAGAUUUAUCGCCAUUAGAUGAGCCCGCGUUGGAUUAGCUAGUUGGUGGGGUAACGGCCCACCAAGGCGACGAUCCAUAGCUGGUCUGAGAGGAUGAUCAGCCGCACUGGGACUGAGACACGGCCCAGACUCCUACGGGAGGCAGCAGUGGGGGAAUAUUGGACAAUGGGCGCAAGCCUGAUCCAGCCAUGCCGCGUGAGUG